rnacentral:rRNA from 1 species
GUCCAUGCCGUAAACGAUGUCUACUAGCCGUUGGGGCCUUUGAGGCUUUAGUGGCGCAGCUAACGCGAUAAGUAGACCGCCUGGGGAGUACGGUCGCAAGACUAAAACUCAAAUGAAUUGACGGGGGCCCGCACAAGCGGUGGAGCAUGUGGUUUAAUUCGAUGCAACGCGAAGAACCUUACCUGGUCUUGACAUAGUAAGAACUUUCCAGAGAUGGAUUGGUGCCUUCGGGAACUUACAUACAGGUGCUGCAUGGCU